rnacentral:rRNA from 1 species
UGCCAGCCGCCGCGGUAAUACGUAGGUGGCGAGCGUUAUUCGGAUUUAUUGGGCGUAAAGGGUCCGUAGGGGGUCUGCCAAGUCUGGUGUGAAAGCCUGAGGCUCAACUGCGGAACUGCACUGGAAACUGGCAAACUAGAGCAUCGGAGAGGAGAGUGGAAUUCCUGGUGUAGCGGUGGAAUGCGUAGAUAUCAGGAGGAACACCGAAGGCGAAGGCAGCUCUCUGGACGAUUGCUGACCCUGAGGAACGAAAGCUAGGGGAGCGAACAGGAUUAGAUA